rfam:Oryza sativa Indica Group cultivar 93-11 Ctg049066, whole genome shotgun sequence.
UCACAUCAGAAUUCCGAAGUUAAGCGUGCUUGGGUGAGAGUAGUACUAGGAUGGGUGACCUCAUGGGAAGUCCUCGUGUUGCAUCCC